rnacentral:rRNA from 1 species
UACAGAGGUCCCAAGCGUUGUUCGGAUUCACUGGGCGUAAAGGGUGCGUAGGCGGCGCGGUAAGUCGGGUGUGAAAUCUCGGAGCUUAACUCCGAAACUGCAUUCGAUACUGCCGUGCUUGAGGACUGGAGAGGAGACUGGAAUUUACGGUGUAGCGGUGAAAUGCGUAGAUAUCAUAAGGAAGACCAGUGGCGAAGGCGGGUCUCUGGACAGUUCCUGACGCUGAGGCACGAAGGCCAGGGGAGCAAACGGG